CCUACGGGUGGCAGCAGUGGGGAAUAUUGCACAAUGGGGGAAACUCUGAUGCAGCGACGCAGCGUGAGUGAAGAAGUAUUUCGGUAUGUAAAGCUCUAUCAGCAGGGAAGAGAAUGACGGUACGUGAGUGAGAUGCUCCGGCUAACUACGUGCCAGCAGCCGAGGUAAUACGGAGGGGGCAAGCGUUAUACGGAUUUACUGGGUGUAAAGGGAGCGUAGACGGCGAAGAAAGUCUGAAGUGAAAGCCAGCGGCUCAACCGCGGAACUGCUUUGGAAACUGUUUUGCUGGAGUACAGGAGAGGUAAGCGGAAUUCCUAGUGUAGCGGUGAAAUGCGUAGAUAUUAGGAGGAACACCAGUGGCGAAGGCGGCUUACUGGACGGUAACUGACGUUGAGGCUCGAAAGCGUGGGGAGCAAACAGGAUUAGAUACCCGGGUAGUC
rnacentral:rRNA from 1 species